UCCAGCCAUGUGAUCCUGAACACACCCACUCUUAUCUGUUCUUGGAUGAUAAAUGGGUUGGGCCUGGUUGGUAUUAGAUGGGAGGACCUAUCAACAAGAAAAUACUGGAC
rnacentral:rRNA from 1 species